GACGAACGCUGGCGGCGUGCCUAAUACAUGCAAGUAGAACGCUGAAGAGAGGAGCUUGCUCUUCUUGGAUGAGUUGCGAACGGGUGAGUAACGCGUAGGUAACCUGCCUUGUAGCGGGGGAUAACUAUUGGAAACGAUAGCUAAUACCGCAUAACAAUGGAUGACACAUGUCAUUUAUUUGAAAGGGGCAAUUGCUCCACUACAAGAUGGACCUGCGUUGUUUUAGCUAGUAGGUGAGGUAAUGGCUCACCUAGGCGACGAUACAUAGCCGACCUGAGGGGGUGAUCGGCCACACUGGGACUGAGACACGGCCCAGACUCCUACGGGAGGCAGCAGUAGGGAAUCUUCGGCAAUGGGGGCAACCCUGACCGAGCAACGCCGCGUGAGUGAAGAAGGUUUUCGGAUCGUAAAGCUCUGUUGUAAGUCAAGAACGGGUGUGAGAGUGGAAAGUUCACACUGUGACGGUAGCUUACCAGAAAGGGACGGCUAACUACGUG
rnacentral:rRNA from 1 species